GGAUUGGUAGUUCUGUGGUAGGAUUCUUGCCUUCAAUGUGGGAGGCCUGAGUUCAAUUCCUGGCCAAUGCA
rnacentral:tRNA from 1 species